rnacentral:rRNA from 1 species
UACAGAGGUCCCAAGCGUUGUUCGGAUUCAUUGGGCGUAAAGGGUGCGUAGGCGGCGCGGUAAGUCGGGUGUGAAAUCUCGGAGCUUAACUCCGAAACUGCAUUCGAUACUGCCGUGCUUGAGGACUGGAGAGGAGACUGGAAUUUACGGUGUAGCGGUGAAAUGCGUAGAUAUCGUAAGGAAGACCAGUGGCGAAGGCGAGUCUCUGGACAGUUACCGACGCUGAGGCACGAAGGCCAGGGGAGCAAACGGG